rnacentral:rRNA from 1 species
GCUCAGAUUGGACGCUGGCGGCAGGCCUAACACAUGCAAGUCGAACGGUAACAGGAAGAAGCUUGCUUCUUUGCUGACGAGUGGCGGACGGGUGAGUAAGUGUCUGGGAAACUGCCUGAUGGAGGGGGAUAACUACUGGAAACGGUAGCUAAUACCGCAUAACGUCGCAAGACCAAAGAGGGGGACCUUCGGGCCUCUUGCCAUCGGAUGUGCCCAGAUGGGAUUAGCUAGUAGGUGGGGUAACGGCUCACCUAGGCGACGAUCCCUAGCUGGUCUGAGAGGAUGACCAGCCACACUGGAACUGAGACACGGUCCAGACUCCUACGGGAGGCAGCAGUGGGGAAUAUUGCACAAUGGGCGCAAGCCUGAUGCAGCCAUGCCGCGUGUAUGAAGAAGGCCUUCGGGUUGUAAAGUACUUUCAGCGGGGAGGAAGGGAGUAAAGUUAAUACCUUUGCUCAUUGACGUUACCCGCAGAAGAAGCACCGGCUAACUCCGUGCCAGCAGCCGCGGUAAUACGGAGAGUGCAAGCGUUAAUCGGAAUUACUGGGCGUAAAGCGCACGCAGGCGGUUUGUUAAGUCAGAUGUGAAAUCCCCGGGCUCAACCUGGGAACUGCAUCUGAUACUGGCAAGCUUGAGUCUCGUAGAGGGGGGUGGAAUUCCAGGUGUAGCGGUGAAAUGCGUAGAGAUCUGGAGGAAUACCGGUGGCGAAGGCGGCCCCCUGGACGAAGACUGACGCUCAGGUGCGAAAGCGUGGGGAGCAAACAGGAUUAGAUACCCUGGUAGUCCACGCCGUAAACGAUGUCGACUUGGAGGUUGUGCCCUUGAGGCGUGGCUUCCGGAGCUAACGCGUUAAGUCGACCGCCUGGGGAGUACGGCCGCAAGGUUAAAACUCAAAUGAAUUGACGGGGGCCCGCACAAGCGGUGGAGCAUGUGGUUUAAUUCGAUGCAACGCGAAGAACCUUACCUGGUCUUGACAUCCACAGAACUUUCCAGAGAUGGAUUGGUGCCUUCGGGAACUGUGAGACAGGUGCUGCAUGGCUGUCGUCAGCUCGUGUUGUGAAAUGUUGGGUUAAGUCCCGCAACGAGCGCAACCCUUAUCCUUUGUUGCCAGCGGUCCGGCCGGGAACUCAAAGGAGACUGCCAGUGAUAAACUGGAGGAAGGUGGGGAUGACGUCAAGUCAUCAUGGCCCUUACGACCAGGGCUACACACGUGCUACAAUGGCGCAUACAAAGAGAAGCGACCUCGCGAGAGCAAGCGGACCUCAUAAAGUGCGUCGUAGUCCGGAUUGGAGUCUGCAACUCGACUCCAUGAAGUCGGAAUCGCUAGUAAUCGUGGAUCAGAAUGCCACGGUGAAUACGUUCCCGGGCCUUGUACUCACCGCCCGUCA